rnacentral:rRNA from 1 species
CCUACGGGUGGCAGCAGUGGGGAAUAUUGGACAAUGGGGGGAACCCUGAUCCAGCCAUGCCGCGUGUGUGAAGAAGGCCCUCGGGUUGUAAAGCACUUUCAGUGAGGAAGAACGCCUGGUGGUUAAUACCCAUCAGGAAAGACAUCACUCACAGAAGAAGCACCGGCUAACUCCGUGCCAGCAGCCGCGGUAAUACGGAGGGUGCGAGCGUUAAUCGGAAUUACUGGGCGUAAAGCGCGCGUAGGUGGCUUGAUAAGCCGGUUGUGAAAGCCCCGGGCUCAACCUGGGAACGGCAUCCGGAACUGUCAAGCUAGAGUGCAGGAGAGGAAGGUAGAAUUCCCGGUGUAGCGGUGAAAUGCGUAGAGAUCGGGAGGAAUACCAGUGGCGAAGGCGGCCUUCUGGACUGACACUGACACUGAGGUGCGAAAGCGUGGGUAGCAAACAGGAUUAUAUACCCCAGUAGUC